rnacentral:rRNA from 1 species
CCUACGGGUGGCAGCAGUCGAGAAUCAUUCACAAUGGGGGAAACCCUGAUGGUGCGACGCCGCGUGGGGGAAUGAAGGUCUUCGGAUUGUAAACCCCUGUCAUGUGGGAGCAAAUUAAAAAGAUAGUACCACAAGAGGAAGAGACGGCUAACUCUGUGCCAACAGCCGCGGUAAUACAGAGGUCUCAAGCGUUGUUCGGAAUCACUGGGCGUAAAGCGUGCGUAGGCUGUUUCGUAAGUCGUGUGUGAAAGGCGCGGGCUCAACCCGCGGACGGCACAUGAUACUGCGAGACUAGAGUAAGGGAGAGGGAACCGGAAUUCGCGGUGUAGCAGUGAAAUGCGUAGAUAUCGAGAGGAACACUCGUGGCGAAGGCGGGUUCCUGGACAUUAACUGACGCUGAGGCACGAAGGCCAGGGGAGCGAAAGGGAUUAGAUACCCCAGUAGUC